rnacentral:rRNA from 1 species
GAUAAACGCUGGCGGCAUGCCUAAUACAUGCAAGUCGAACGAGAGACACUUCGGUGGCUCUAGUGGCGAACGGGUGAGUAACACGUAAGGAAUCCACCCCACAGACGAGGAUAACCAUGGGAAACUGUGGCUAAUACUGGAUAAGAUAUAAAAUCGCAUGAUUUAAUAUUUAAAGGUGCUUAUGGCACUACUGUGGGAGGACCUUGCGCAGCAUUAGCUAGUUGGUGAGAUAAAAGCUCACCAAGGCGACGAUGCUUAGCUGGACUGAGAGGUUGAACAGCCACACUGGGACUGAGACACGGCCCAGACUCCUACGGGAGGCAGCAGUAGGGAAUUUUCGGCAAUGGGCGCAAGCCUGACCGAGCAAUGCCGCGUGAACGAUGAAGGUCUUCGGAUCGUAAAGUUCUGUUGUUAAGGAAGAACGUUAGUAUGAGGAAAUGCAUAUUAAGUGACGGUACUUAACGAGAAAGCUCCGGCUAACUACGUG